UGGCACCAAUUAUUUGGCUCCACCAAAAAAGGAUUAUUUUUUAAACUCUUAAUUUUCAGAAAUAGCAAUAUUUCCCUGGUAUUUAUAUAGGUGGCACCAUUCUUAAUGGCUCCACCAAAAAAAUAAUUUUUUUACUCUGUUUGCUAAUGUAGGAUGUUGGUGGCGCCAAACAUUUUUGCUCCACUAAAUUUAACUGUAGCUUUUAGGUCAUUUUCA
rnacentral:lncRNA from 1 species